UACAGAGGGUGCGAGCGUUAAUCGGAAUUACUGGGCGUAAAGCGUGCGUAGACGGUUAUUUAAGUCGGAUGUGAAAGCCCCGGGCUCAACCUGGGAAUUGCAUUCGAGACUGAAUAGCUAGGGUGCGGUAGAGGGAAGCGGAAUUUCCGGUGUAGCGGUGAAAUGCGUAGAUAUCGGAAGGAACACCAGUGGCGAAAGCGGCUUCCUGGUCCAGCACCGACGUCAGGCACGAAGCGUGGGGAGCAAACAGG
rnacentral:rRNA from 1 species